rnacentral:rRNA from 1 species
GAUGAACUCUGGCGGCGUGCUUAACACAUGCAAGUCGAACGAAGCAAUCUAACGGAAGUUUUCGGAUGGAAGCUAGAUUGACUGAGUGGCGGACGGGUGAGUAACGCGUGGGUAACCUGCCUCACACUGGGGGACAACAGUUAGAAAUGACUGCUAAUACCGCAUAAGCGCACAGGACCGCAUGGUCCGGUGUGAAAAACUCCGGUGGUGUGAGAUGGACCCGCGUUUGAUUAGCUAGUUGGUGGGGUAACGGCCUACCAAGGCGACGAUCAAUAGCCGACCUGAGAGGGUGACCGGCCACAUUGGGACUGAGACACGGCCCAAACUCCUACGGGAGGCAGCAGUGGGGAAUAUUGCACAAUGGGGGAAACCCUGAUGCAGCGACGCCGCGUGAGUGAAGAAGUAUUUCGGUAUGUAAAGCUCUAUCAGCAGGGAAGAAAAUGACGGUACCUGACUAAGAAGCCCCGGCUAACUACGUGCCAGCAGCCGCGGUAAUACGUAGGGGGCAAGCGUUAUCCGGAUUUACUGGGUGUAAAGGGAGCGUAGACGGUAAAGCAAGUCUGAAGUGAAAGCCCGGGGCUCAACCCCGGGACUGCUUUGGAAACUGUUUAACUAGAGUGCUGGAGAGGUAAGCGGAAUUCCUAGUGUAGCGGUGAAAUGCGUAGAUAUUAGGAGGAACACCAGUGGCGAAGGCGGCUUACUGGACAGUAACUGACGUUGAGGCUCGAAAGCGUGGGGAGCAAAAAGGAUUAGAUACCCUGGUAGUCCACGCCGUAAACGAAGAAUACUAGGUGUGGGGGGCAAAGUCCUUCGGUGCCGUCGCAAACGCAAUAAGUAUUCCACCUGGGGAGUACGUUCGCAAGAAUGAAACUCAAAGGAAUUGACGGGGACCCGCACAAGCGGUGGAGCAUGUGGUUUAAUUCGAAGCAACGCGAAGAACCUUACCAAAUCUUGACAUCCCUCUGACCGGCGAGUAAUGUCGCCUUUCCUUCGGGACAGAGGAGACAGGUGGUGCAUGGUUGUCGUCAGCUCGUGUCGUGAGAUGUUGGGUUAAGUCCCGCAACGAGCGCAACCCUUAUCCUAAGUAGCCAGCAGUUCGGCUGGGCACUCUUGGGAGACUGCCAGGGAUAACCUGGAGGAAGGUGGGGAUGACGUCAAAUCAUCAUGCCCCUUAUGAUUUGGGCUACACACGUGCUACAAUGGCGUAAACAAAGAGAGGCGAGACCGCGAGGUGGAGCAAAUCUCAAAAAUAACGUCUCAGUUCGGACUGCAGGCUGCAACUCGCCUGCACGAAGCUGGAAUCGCUAGUAAUCGCGAAUCAGAAUGUCGCGGUGAAUACGUUCCCGGGUCUUGCAC